UACAGAGGGUGCGAGCGUUGUUCGGAAUUAUUGGGCGUAAAGGGCGCGUAGGCGGCACAGCAAGUCGGGAGUGAAAGCCCGGGGCUCAACCCCGGAAUGGCUUUCGAAACUGCUGAGCUAGAGUACAGAAGGGGCAACCGGAAUUCCCAGUGUAGCGGUGAAAUGCGUAGAUAUUGGGAAGAACACCUGAGGCGAAGGCGGGUUGCUGGGCUGAUACUGACGCUGAGGCGCGAAAGCCAGGGGAGCAAACGGG
rnacentral:rRNA from 1 species